GGCGUUCUACUGCGUUGCGGGUGUAGUUGGUGCUUUCGCGAUCGUAGCCAUAGGCCAGCAGGCUCCCGCGCGACGGCCACGUCGCGAGCACCGGAAC
rnacentral:sRNA from 1 species